AUGGGUGAUGACAUCACUGCACUCGUGGUCGACAAUGGCUCCGGCAUGUGCAAGGCCGGCUUCGCGGGCGACGACGCCCGGCUGUCUUCCCCUCCAUCGUGGGGCGCCCUCGGCACCAGGGCGUGAUGGUGGGCAUGGGCCAGAAGGACUCCUACGUGGGAGACGAAGCCCAGAGCAAGAGAGGCAUCCUGACCCUCAAGUACCCCAUCGAGCACAGCAUUGUCACCAACUGGGACGACAUGGAGAAGAUCUGGCACCACACCUUCUACAACGAGCUGCGUGUGGCCCCUGAAGAGCACCCUGUGCUGCUGACGGAGGCCCCCCUGAACCCCAAGGCUAACCGGGAGAAGAUGACCCAGAUCAUGUUCGAGACCUUCAGUACCCCUACUAUGUACGUUGCCCUCCAGGCCGUGCUGUCCCUGUCCGCCUCUGGCCGAACCACUGGCAUUGUGAUGGAUUCCGGCGAUGGGGUCACCCACACUGUGCCCAUCUAUGAGGGGUACGCCCUCCCGCAUGCCAUCCUGCGUCUGGACCUGGCUGGCCGGGACCUGACGGACUACCUCAUGAAGAUCCUCACCGAGCGAGCCUACAGCUUUACCACCACGGCUGAGCGGGAAAUUGUGCGUGACAUCAAGGAGAAACUCUGUUACGUUGCCCUGGACUUCGAGCAGGAGAUGGCCAUGGCGGCUUCCUCUUCUUCCUUGGAGAAGAGCUACGAGCUGCCCGAUGGGCAGGUCAUCACCAUCGGCAAUGAAAGGUUUCCAAAGGCACUGAAUCUUAAAAAUUCUUUCAUUGGUAUACAAUCCCCCCUCCCCCAGUUUUACAUUUUAAAU